GAUGAACGCUGGCGGCGUGCCUAACACAUGCAAGUCGAGCGAUUCCCUCCGGAGAAGAGCCGCGGACGGGUGUGUCACGCGUGGGUAACCUGCCCUGUACACACGGAUACCAUACCGAAAGGUAUGCUAAUACGAGAUAACAUCCUUUUAUCGCUUGGUCGCAGUAUCAAAGCUUUUGCGUUACAGGAUGGACCCGCGUCUGAUUAGCUAGUUGGUGCGGUAAUGGCUCACCAAGGCGACGAUCAGUAGCCGAGCUGAGAGGAUGAUCGGCCACAUUGGAACUGAGACACGGUCCAGACUCCUACGGGAGGCAGCAGUGGGGAAUAUUGCACAAUGGGCGAAAGCCUGAUGCAGCAACGCCGCGUGAGCGAUGAAGGCCUUAGGGUCGUAAAGCUCUGUCAUCCAGGAAGAUAAUGACGGUACUUGAAGAAGAAGCCCCGGCUAACUACGUG
rnacentral:rRNA from 1 species